CCUAAUAAAAGCUGUUAUGUCUGAAAUGAGUUAUCUCAGUAGUGACUUGGGCUCAGAUUUAUUGUACAGUUCAUCAACUUCUCAGCAUGCUGGAUAAUGAAUAUUUCAUUUACAUUGCUAAUUGCCAAGCCAUGGUUCCUUCAACCUUUAACCCUUACGCUUUAUCACAUUAUCACCAUAUGUCAAUAUAAUUGCAUUUAACAUUCCAAAUAACUAACUUUUUCACGAGGUCAACAGAUCUGUUUUUUUUUUUAAAGCUUU
rnacentral:sRNA from 7 species